rnacentral:rRNA from 1 species
CAACCCAUCCCGGGGUGAUUAAAGAAGCCCCUAAGGGUUAAAAAAGUCUUUUCCCCCUGGAAAAGAUAAUGACUUGAACCAGGAAAAAAAACCCCGGGUAAAUUCCGUGCAAGCAGCCGGGGUAAUACGGAGGGGGUUAGCGUUGUUCGGAAUUACUGGGCGUAAAGCGCACGUAGGCGGACAUUUAAGUCAGGGGUGAAAUCCCGGGGCUCAACCCCGGAACUGCCCUUGAUACUGGGUGUCUUGAGUUCGAGAGAGGUGAGUGGAAUUCCGAGUGUAGAGGUGAAAUUCGUAGAUAUUCGGAGGAACACCAGUGGCGAAGGCGGCUCACUGGCUCGAUACUGACGCUGAGGUGCGAAAGUGUGGGGAGCAAACAGGAUUAGAUACCCUGGUAAUCCACACCGUAAACGAUGAAUGCCAGACGUCGGGCAGUAUACUGUUCGGUGUCACACCUAACGGAUUAAGCAUUCCGCCUGGGGAGUACGGUCGCAAGAUUAAAACUCAAAGGAAUUGACGGGGGCCCGCACAAGCGGUGGAGCAUGUGGUUUAAUUCGAUGCAACGCGAAGAACCUUACCAGGGUUUGACAUGAUACGAAUUUCUUUGAAAGAAGAAAGUGCCGUUUGGAACGUAUACACAGGUGGUGCAUGGCUGUCAUCAGCUCGUGUCGUGAGAUGUUGGGUUAAGUCCCGCAACGAGCGCAACCCUUGUUUUUAGUUGCCUUUUAUGGAACUCUAAAAAGACUGCUGGUUAUAAACCGGAGGAAGGUGGGGAUGACGUCAAGUCAGCAUGCCCCUUACACCCUGGGCUACACACGUGCUACAUUGGGCGAGACAAUGAGAUGCAAAUCUGCGAAGACUAGCUAAUCUAUAAACUCGUUCUAAGUUCGGAUUGUAGGCUGCAACUCGCCUACAUGAAGGUGGAAUCGCUAGUAAUCGCUGGUCAGCUACACAGCGGUGAAUUCGUUCCCGGGCCUUGUACACACCGCCCGUCACACCAUGGAAGCUGGUUAUGCCCGAAGUCAUUACUCUAACCAUUCGGAGGAGGGUGCCUAAGGUAGAAUUAGUGACUGGGGUGAAGUCGUAACAAGGUAACCGUA